GCCUGAGUGGCUCAGUCAGUUAAGCAUCUGACUUCGGCUCAGGUCAUGAUCCCAUGGUUCAUGAGUUCAAGCCCCGUGUCAGGCU
rnacentral:tRNA from 1 species